rnacentral:rRNA from 1 species
UACGUAGGGGCUAGCGUUGUUCGGAAUUACUGGGCGUAAAGCGCACGUAGGCGGAUAUUUAAGUCAGGGGUGAAAUCCCAGAGCUCAACUCUGGAACUGCCUUUGAUACUGGGUAUCUUGAGUAUGGAAGAGGUAAGUGGAAUUGCGAGUGUAGAGGUGAAAUUCGUAGAUAUUCGCAGGAACACCAGUGGCGAAGGCGGCUUACUGGUCCAUAAC